UACGGUAGGGGGCAAGCGUUGUCCGGAAUCAUUUGGGCGUAAAGCGCGUGUAGGCGGCUUCGAUUAAGUCGGGCUGUGAAAGUCCAGGGCUCAACCCCGGGCCUGCAGCCGAUACGGGCAGACUAGAGUUCGGCAGGGGAGACUGGAAUUCCUGGUGUAGCGGUGAAAUGCGCAGAUAUCAGGAGGAACACCGGUGGCGAAGGCGGGUUCUCUGGGCCAUACUGACGUGAGGAGCGAAAAGCGGUGGGGAGCAAACAGG
rnacentral:rRNA from 1 species